rnacentral:rRNA from 1 species
GAUCUGCGUGGGUACGGGCAGACUAGAGUGAUGUAGGGGAGACUGGAAUUCCUGGUGUAGCGGUGAAAUGCGCAGAUAUCAGGAGGAACACCGAUGGCGAAGGCAGGUCUCUGGGCAUUAACUGACGCUGAGGAGCGAAAGCAUGGGGAGCGAACAGGAUUAGAUACCCUGGUAGUCCAUGCCGUAAACGUUGGGCACUAGGUGUGGGGGACAUUCCACGUUUUCCGCGCCGUAGCUAACGCAUUAAGUGCCCCGCCUGGGGAGUACGGCCGCAAGGCUAAAACUCAAAGGAAUUGACGGGGGCCCGCACAAGCGGCGGAGCAUGCGGAUUAAUUCGAUGCAACGCGAAGAACCUUACCAAGGCUUGACAUGGACCAGACCGGACUGGAGACAGUUCUUCCCCUUUGGGGUUGGUUCACAGGUGGUGCAUGGUUGUCGUCAGCUCGUGUCGUGAGAUGUUGGGUUAAGUCCCGCAACGAGCGCAACCCUCGUUCUAUGUUGCCAGCACGUGAUGGUGGGGACUCAUAGGAGACUGCCGGGGUCAACUCGGAGGAAGGUGGGGACGACGUCAAAUCAUCAUGCCCCUUAUGUCUUGGGCUUCACGCAUGCUACAAUGGCCGGUACAAAGGGUUGCGAUACUGUGAGGUGGAGCUAAUCCCAAAAAGCCGGUCUCAGCUCGGA